ACGCUCGACACCUACGGAGGCAGCAGUGGGGAAUAUUGCACAAUGGGGGAAACCCUGAUGCAGCGACGCCGCGUGAGCGAAGAAGUAUCUCGGUAUGUAAAGCUCUAUCAGCAGGGAAGAAGAUGACGGUACCUGACUAAGAAGCACCGGCUAAAUACGUGCUAGCAGCCGCGGUAAUCUGAGCGGGCUGGCAAGGC
rnacentral:rRNA from 1 species